rnacentral:rRNA from 1 species
UACGUAGGGUGCAAGCGUUGUCCGGAAUUAUUGGGCGUAAAGAGCUCGUAGGCGGUCUGUCGCGUCGGCUGUGGAAUCCCGAGGCUCAACCUCGGGCCUGCAGUCGAUACGGGCAGACUAGAGUGUGGUAGGGGAGACUGGAAUUCCUGGUGUAGCGGUGAAAUGCGCAGAUAUCAGGAGGAACACCGGUGGCGAAGGCGGUUCUCUGGGCAUUACCUGACGCUGAGGAGCGAAAGUGUGGGGAGCGAACAGG